rnacentral:lncRNA from 1 species
GGGAAAGACAUUAAGUUUGGAGCAGCUCAGUACAACGGAUCUAGCCUUUCUCCCUCGGGUCUCCAGACUCACUUAGGUCCAAGCUGCGGAGCAGGGACAACGGAGCCCAGGCGGCCACCUUCAGGCCCAGCCACCAGCUGCUGAGAACCAGAGGGAAACCUCCUCCCAGAAGAACAUUUCCAUACACUGCUUCCCCACUGCUGUGGAGUCCCCUGAACACUGGUCCCUGGACACCAACUUCAAGAAGACUUCGUGAUGGCUGUCCAGUCUUAUGAACCACAGUUUUCCCUGUGUGUUUUCUCCAGUGAUGCUCUCAUCUGGGUCAGAUUAGAGAUGAACCAGCUGGAGAACAGAUUGGAGCGCUGACCUCUUAGAGUGCUAACAGUCAACAGUUUGCUGUCAGACCCAUAGAGAAAUAAUAAAAAUACGUUCCAUGCAAGGGAGUGGGAUGUUUAUAAUUCCUUAAAGGCUGAAAUCAAGGAACAAUCAAAAUAUAGAGGAAUGCGGACUUGUUUUACUGCAGGAUUUUUGUUUUGUCCCUACUGGGAUACAUAUUCUGGUGUUACUACUGCAUCAGGACUCAGGCAAGGCUAUGUAUUCUAGUGGUGCUCCUACUUAGCUCUUGUGCUUUAGUAAGAGAACUCAUUAGACUUGGUAUUACUGAUCUGCACUGUAGGUCUGCACUCACGACCUGGGAGAUAUUGGCAAUGAUUCUCUUAUAUGAUAAAGGUCAAUGAUAAAAGUACUUCAACUCCCCUCGAACUUUUUGUUUGUACACCAAGUGAUGACACUGUGUAUUGAACUAAUUAGAUCAGUGGAGUUACAGGGUGAUACUGACCUCUAAAAAUAUUUGGCUGAAACCUGGCAUUGCUAGUUAUCUGUAGAAGAGGACGAUAUGGAACAUGCAAACAUCACAAAACAUGGGAUUACUGGUCAGACUUGGAAACCCAGCAACCAGGCAAGUUCAGCAUAGAACCUGCAGAAACUAGCAGCAGGUAGACAUGGUUCCUUUUCCAUGGAUCUUACAACCAAAUGUCCCUGUAGAAAGCAGAGGCUAUCAUGUGUAUGUGGCCACACAGAUGUUCUUGAGCACAGCCUCUAGUCAGUGGGAGAGUUCCUACUGCUGUAGGCCAUGGCUGUCUUCUCUAAGCCUGAAUUUUACAAACACUUUGUGAACCUGGACUGCUUUUCUUUAGCAAGCCUUGAAAAGUUCCAGGAUGUCAGGGAAGUGUCUUGGGGUUGGCAGGGCUUCUAGGGAGGGAAAUAUUAAAUGAUUUGGACCAGAAAAGAAAAAGGGGAUGGGGUUCAGAACCAACAAUUACCUCUAUUCUAUGUAGGAAACAAUAAUAUGAAAUACGCUGGGCACGGAAACUUUGAUACUAAAACUUGGUUUUUGUCCCUUUUAAAAAGUAAUACUUAAAAAGCUAUGUGGUUGUAGGCAAGCCAUUUCCCCUGUGGAUGUCUCCUGAAUGACUCUAAACCUGUUCUAGUUCUCAAAGGCCUUUAACAUAAGUCCCCAGGCUACAGUGGCCACUUUAAAAAUACCCUCCCUAUGGUUGUUAGGUCUUAACGUUUCCAGCAGUUACAUAAACAUUUUUAUUUUUGAGGGAGGGUCUAUUCUUAUCAACUUUUAAAAAACACACAUCCGGUUCUUUUCUGGAAUUAAGAAGAUGCAAACUCCAAGUCCCCUGCCUUCCAUACUGCCUGCCUUUCUUCCUGUUCGUCCCUUAUUCCCAUCCCUGUUGAGUUUGUGCUAUGCACUGCAUCAGGUAUACCCUAGGUUUGGAGAUACAGGAUAAACCUGACUCAGAGGGGUCUUCCCUUUCUCUUCUGGUGCUUUCUUUGGAGGGAGUCUGUUGUAUCUAGGCAGACUGUGCUGUGGCGCCCCUGAGGUAACCACCCAGGCGCUUCAUUCUGCCUAAGCAAUUUCAUUGUGCACUAAGAUACACAUCCCAGUAACUGUCCAGAUUACCACAAGAACUUUCUCCAAAUAUAAGGAAGAGGGAGAUUUUACUUCUGAGAUGUGUGUAUGACAACCCUCCAUCCUGGGAAGAACACUGAAUACUGCCUGCACCUCAUCCUAGCCUAAGGAGUGAGAGUGUUUUCCUGUAUCAUCCCGGUGGAUUGCUACUUCUUUAAGAAGGAAUGGGAAAAACACCAAACAGACAAACAUGUUAUCACAAAUUCAGUCUGACCUCAUUGGAAAUCCUUUUAAAAAUUAAUCAUUUCUAUCUCUUCAUUAUCAACAAAUCUACUGAAUACUUCUCUCUUGAGUCCAGGGCAUAUUUUAUAAUACAUAAAACAAUGAAAUUUCAAAUUCAGAGCACUGACAUAUACUAUUCGUUUUGAGUAUUUUUAUUAUAGGGAAUGACUUUAGACAUUCCAAUUUAUGACUUAAGUGGUAAAAUGGAUAGCUCUUGACUUUCAACUUUCCUUUUCAGUUCAGGUCAAGGAAUAGCUACCUCCAGGUAAUGUCUACACUUUCCUAUGACUAAGGACUCUAACUAUUUCUGUUGCCUUUCUUUAUGCAGGCAUAUGUUAGCAUUUCUUUUCUAUGUGACAAAUGUACUAAAGAGAGUAUAAAAUUCAUGAGAUAAGCUUUUUGGAUAGGAAUUUAGAAAAACAAGGAGUCCAGAUAAAUGAGUGAAAAAUCAACUUAAAUAAUCAACAUAUCCAAGAUAUGUAUUGGAAUAAAUGUCUAUUGUACCAUU